rnacentral:lncRNA from 1 species
GACAUCCCCGUGUCAGGGGCGCUGCUCACCGACUGGAGCGACGACACGAUGAAGGAGCUGCACCUGGCCAUCCCCGCCAAGAUCACCCGGGAGAAGCUGGACCAAGUGGCGACAGCAGUGUACCAGAUGAUGGAUCAGCUGUACCAGGGGAAGAUGUACUUCCCCGGGUAUUUCCCCAACGAGCUGCGAAACAUCUUCCGGGAGCAGGUGCACCUCAUCCAGAACGCCAUCAUCGAAAGCCGCAUCGACUGUCAGCACCGCUGUGGCAUCUUCCAGUACGAGACCAUCUCCUGCAACAACUGCACAGACUCGCACGUCGCCUGCUUUGGCUAUAACUGCGAGUCCUCGGCGCAGUGGAAGUCAGCUGUCCAGGGCCUCCUGAACUACAUAAAUAACUGGCACAAGCAGCCUCGUCUCCCCGCAGCCUGGUAUCGCCAGCCUUAAGGUGUCUGGAGCCCCCACACUUGGCCAACCUGACCUUGGAAGAUGCUGCUGAGUGUCUCAAGCAGCACUGACAGCAGCUGGGCCUGCCCCAGGGCAACGUGGGGGCGGAGACUCAGCUGGACAGCCCCUGCCUGUCACUCUGGAGCUGGGCUGCUGCUGCCUCAGGACCCCCUCUCCGACCCCGGACAGAGCUGAGCUGGCCAGGGCCAGGAGGGCGGGAGGGAGGGAAUGGGGGUGGGCUGUGCGCAGCAUCAGCGCCUGGGCAGGUCCGCAGAGCUGCGGGAUGUGAUUAAAGUCCCUGAUGUUUC